rnacentral:lncRNA from 1 species
UGAAGGGUCAAAAAGGCAAAGGGUGUUUUAGAAGUUUAGCAGACAGCUUUUGGUACAAGGAAAAGAGAGGGAGAGCUGGAGAGAGGGAAACAGGGUGAAGAGGCAGGAAUCUGGCUCGCAUUAAGCUGGGAGGUUCCAACCAUUGAUUCGCUCUGGAAUUAUGGCUUAAAAAAAUUGCAAGACAUGGUUUAUUCAUGAGGGUUCUUUUUUUUUCUUAAGUAGCCACCCAAAGUUACACUUUGGUUCACCAAGACGAAGACUCAUCCUUCCUCUCUCUAUGGAUCUUUCAGAUGAAGAAAUUAAGGCUCAGGAGGGAGGAAAAAAAUAAAAGAAAGAAUUGUCCAAGGUCACCAAGGCAUCUGGACUCCCAUAUGUUGAGCUACUUCUGCUUGUGGGGCAGCUGCAAUACAUGAAUUCUUCACUACGUGCAACCAUGGAUACCAGGACCAUAAAGUGCCUUUGUCUUGGGGUCACUUCGAGAAAACAUUGUAGAUCCAGGGGCUCUGAGCUGAAGAGGAAAAACCAUCAUAGUGUUCUGUUCACGAGUGCCCUGAAUUCCAUCCACAGAGCUAUUGGAUGUUUGGAGCCCAGGUGAAGAUCCCAGAGCUGGGGAACGAAAGGUUGGAAAAGCCCAGCCAGCUGUGCAAGCCUCCAGAGACACUCUCUUGACUGCGGUGAGGUGCCUGCCACAAAACCCCUAGCUCCCUGCUCUUCAACCUCUGGCUUUGGCGGCAGGUGAACCAGUUAGCCAUGCCAGGAGGCAGAAAGGGCAGAACGCAGAGCCUGCCUUUUGAAGCCUUUUGCUUCCUUUGAUGUGCAGAUUUUAUCAAGGUCCUUUCUGGAGUUGGGCAAAUCCCAGUUGCCUUCUUCAAAUCCUCCUUUUGAGAAUAUUUCCAGAGAAUCCCCAAACCGCUCUCCUAUGGUUUAUUUUAGGCUGCUUACUUGCUUGCAUUCAUUUAUUUACUUAUUUAUUUAUUUUGCAGAGGAAAGUGAUAGCCUGCUGGGCUGGACCUGGACUUUGAGACAGAACUUUCGAAUCCGAAGAAGAGAUGAUUUUCAGAUAGUCCUCCUUCCAGGUUCCGGGAAAGGCCAGGCGGGUGUCAGAGGUCUUUGUCAACCCGCUGAGUCAGCAGAGGCAGAAGGCAUUCUUCUUAAGUUCCCAGGGAGAGACUGGAGCUAAAGAUCCUGGGUGACGCCACGUUGCAGUGCCUGCCCCAGAGAGAACUGCAUGGACCAGGUUUUUAUUAUGUCGAUCAUGCUUCAAUAAGGUGGUUUUUUAAAAAAGUCUGCUGAAAGCUGGAAGCGGCCACUUCAACAUCACCCUCAGAAUGGAGCAUACUCAAGGGGAAGCCAAGCUGGAGUACAGAACAAGGAAAAGACUUGGUCUCAUCUGAAUCCAUGAACGCAGCUCUGUCUGAAAGUGAUUCUUCUGGAAUUUUCAAUGACUGGAGUCCGUAAAGUCCCUUCGUCUUAGUUUUUUGAUCAUUCAUAAUCACACACAAACACACACACACCCCACCCACACUCAUACAAACAUACACAAUGAGGUGUGGAUAAAAUGAAUAAUCUAUACUUGUACUGAAAAUAUAUUAGUACAUGCCUGGCAC